GUGUCAGAGGCCCUGCGGUAACCAGCCACGUGUGGCGAUGGUGUUUCAGUCUCUGUGGUUACCAGUCAGAUGAAACGGAGCGUUACAGGCAGGUGUUUCUGUCCCGCUUCCUGCUGCGAGCGCGACGGGGCCCGGCUCUGGAAGUCUCCAUGGGCUGCGAUCCGAGCGGCGGCCCCGGAGGCAGUUCCAGGAGGGCGGGGCGAUUCCCCGCCCAGCCCGGCCGGGGGCCGCGUUGCCCUUUUCACUUGGCUCAUUCCGAAGGCUUGGCCCGGAGCCGUGACACAAGGUUGUGUGAGCGGGGUACACGCUGGGAAAAGCCCUGAGUGGGGGGACUCAGGCCGGUGCAGAGAGGGGAGCAGAGCCCGGAGGCCUCCAGCCUGGCUCGCUCCCUCCCUCCCCUCUCCACCUAUUACCUUGUGUACCCCGCUGCGGCUGGGCUGAAUCUCGCCCCAGGGGGCCCAGCCGAGGGACACCCCGUCUCUCUCUCGCUCUCCCGGGGGUCUCUCCCGGAGUCAGGGUCACCGUCCACUGACGGAAGAGGUGCCUGGAGGUUGCGGGGAGUCUCGCUUGCUCAAGCAGAGAUGACCCCCGUCCAAGGCAGAGUGGCGCCUGCCGACACUCCCCGCUCCGGCGGGGUCUGUACACCAGCUACCUCGUCCCUGGAGCGCAGGGUCUCGCCUCUGCCCACACGGAGGGGAGCCCUCAUUGCUCAGUGUAUAACAGGAGGGUCGCAUAUAGCCUCCUGUACAACAAGAGCAAGAGCCUUGUGUCCAGCAAGUAUAAAUGGGACUGGUUCCCCCCGAGCUUUGUCUGUGGGUCCAGAAGCCACGGGUGGGCGCCGCCCCUCACUCCCAGACUGGGGUGGCCGCAUGGCCGGAGUGAGACUGCUGUCCAGCCCCGUCCCCAUGGGGCACAGAGAGAGGGGGGUUUGCUGAAGAAGCCCCUGCCCCUGUGAUUGGGGUUGACCAGAUGUCCCGAUUUUAUAGGGACAGUCCCGAUUUUUGUGUCUUUUUCUUAUACAGAGGCUCCUAUUAUACGCCCCCCCCCCCCACCUCCGUCCCAAUUUUUCACACUUGCUAUCUGGUCACCCUUAGAGCGAUCAUACAUCCCUGAUAUAGGAGGAGCAGCUGAGACAUGCCCAUAUGAUAACAGCAGGGGGUCCUGAGAAAGUCUGGCCUCCGGAAAAUUCCUUCCUGAACCUAAACCUGGUGAUCAGUCUCACCCUCAGCAGAUACAUCCCAGGGCAAAUGCUAACUGUAGCAAUCAAACGUCCAUUGAGGAAUUUGUCCUCCUGGGAUUUGGGAAUCUCCCUGAAUUUCAGAUUCUUCUCUGCUUCCUGUUUCUAGUGAUCUACAUGGUGACCAUGGCUGGAAAUAUCCUCAUUGUUGUGCUAGAUGUGGCUGAUCAGCACCUUCACGCCCCUGUGUACUUCCUCCUGGGGAACGCGUCCUGCUUGGAGAUCUGCUACACCUCCACCAUCCUGCCCAGGGUGCUGGCCAGUCUCCUCACUGGGGACAGAACCAUUUCUGUUAGUGGCUGCAUGACACAAUUUUAUUGUUUUGGUAUCCUAGCAGCCACAGAAUGCUAUCUGCUAGCAGUGAUGUCUUACGAAUUGUAUCUAGUGAUCUGCAAUCCACUCUGUUAUGCCACUCUGAUGAACGGCAGUGUUUGUUUCCAGCUAGCGGCUUGUUCCUGGACAAGUGGCUUUCUGAGCAGUACCAUCGUAAUCAUUUUAAUGACUAAAAUAAAGUUUUGUGGCUCCAAUGAAAUUGACCAUUUCUUUUGUGAUUCCUCACCCAUCAUAAAACUAUCCUCUACUGUUACCCAGCUUCUAGAACUCACGAUUUUCAUGGUCUCCUCCGUCAGGUGACUAGUCCCAUUUCUAUUCACAUUGGCAUCCUACGUUUGCAUCAUCAACACCAUCCUGAGAAUUCCUUCCACCACCGGGAGGCAAAAGGCAUUUUCUACCUGCUCCUCUCACACUGUCACUGUCACAACAUUUUAUGGGACUCUGAUUAUUGGCUACAUGGUUCCAACUGCCCACCAUUCAAAGGACUUAUACAAGGUAUCUUCUGUCUUCUACACAGUCCUGACCCACAUGGUCUACAGUCUGAGGAACAAAGAGGUCAAAGAGGCCCCGAGAAGGGCUGUCAGUAAGUUUCUGGCUUUUGCAAGACUUCAGACUGUAAAAUUAACAGAUCUCUAUCAGUGACCUACAGCAGGAGAUUCUGGAAGACUGGCACCUCUCCCCAAUCAGCUAAUUUUGAUCUUUGCAGUUGUAAAAUAAGAUUGAGAUUUUUAAAAGGGACUUUAGGGGUUAGGAGCACUGUAUUCCAUGCUUUGAUUUUCCAGAAACUUUUGGAGGGUUACUUAGGGUGAUAUCUCAAAGGAGUUGAAGGGAGUUAAACACCUAAAUUGGAGUUAAUCACCAAAGGGAUUUAAUCACCUAAAUUGGAAGUUGAGUCACCUAAUUCCUUCACAUUUCUUUGAAAAUCCUGGCCUAAAACUUUGGCAGACACGGAUUUCACUGAAUUUUAGGACUGAUACUUGCUGCUGCUGCCUUUAGGGAGCGGUAUUCGUAUGGUAUGCUUUGGCUGAUAUUUUUCUUUUCCAGGUGAUGGAGGAUAAUUUGGGGAGAGGGGAGAAGGAAGCGGGAAACAAUGAUUGCAUGAGUGAGAAAAGUAAAUCUGAAUUCAAAUGCAAUGUUAACUGUUGUAGAUGCCUGUGGAAUUACAUCAGGCUUCCCUUUGCAAAUCUAAUAAUAAAACAGGGCAACUGCA